CAAAAUGGCGAAUUAUCAUAAGACACUCGUUAAAUCAUAUCUCUUGUGAUUCGUCCUGGUUCAGCCCCGACACUGGCCAUCGCUCUUCGGAAUCAUGGUUUUCAGGGUCUCACCUCUGCAUGUUGACAUUGUUAUUGAUUUGAACGUGAAAGCUGCCUCAUCAAACGUUCUCACAGUUCUGCGUUUUACUCCCCUUAACUAUACAACAGAUGCACGUGAAGACAUAGACUGGCUUUUAUUUUGUAUUGGUUAACUCCAAGGAACAAGCGGAACGAAAACAUCGUCAUGUUGACAUUUUAGGGAAGGAGAAGGUGUUGACGUCGAGGAGCUGCCGGAGGAAGAGUCACAGUCAGCUUCUAAAAAUUAUGAUCUGUCUGAGUCAGUGCAUCUGCUUUAUUUAUCAGUCUUCAGGGGAACAAGCCCCUAAAACUCAGUGCUACUGUUCUGGCUCAGUAAAACACAUGCACCCAUCAUAUCUGUUGACAUGGUUCAAAGAAAAGGUCAAGAAAACUUGUGAAUUGUGCCAUAAAAGUGAUAUCAAGAAAAAGGGCAAACCAUAUAUGCUGAGAUUUUCACAUUUCCAGACUACCAAGUUAAGAUACAUGCAACUAAGCUAAAGAAUUAUUGGCAUAUUUCCAGAAUUCCACAUUUCCAGACUACUGAGAUAAAUGUGAUGAAUUUGAUGUGCAGCACAUUCCAUUGUGAUGACGUGUUCUGUGCUCUUCUACCCCAAGUUAAAGCGCAAUUUGUUUAUAUUGAGACAAAGAACUCCUAACAAUAAUUGCAGAUGUGCACAUCUUAACCCUUUACUUCUUGGAAGUGAUUAACAUGUAGCUUCUCCUUGUUGUAUUCAUAAGGUAAUGAGAAUACCUUCAAGUUUUUAUCUUGAUCUAACUUCAAAUUCUCAAAACUAAUUUACAAUGAAAUGUAUAGCAGCUGAAGGGGAGAAGUAGCAAUCAGUCCUUGGGAGUUAAUGGGUUAUAAGCCUCAGAGAACAGAAAGCAUUAUGGUUAUAGUUGUUACGAAUACUUAAGAUUAAAAUUGUUAGUAGGUGACAGAUUCACAUGUUCAUGUAAAUAGGGUAUUGAAUAUUUGUUAACUUGUGAAAGAAACUUGAUUAAAAAUAGGGUCAAGCAA